UCCAGACUCCUACGGGAGGCAGCAGUGGGGAAUAUUGCACAAUGGGGGAAACCCUGAUGCAGCGACGCCGCGUGAGUGAAGAAGUAUUUCGAUAUGUAAAGCUCUAUCAGCAGGGAAGAAAAAAGACGGUACCUGACUAAGAAGCCCUGGCUAACUACGUGCCAGCAGCCGCGGUAAUACGUAGGGGGCAAGCGUUAUCCGGAAUUACUGGGUGUAAAGGGUGCGUAGGUGGCAUGGUAAGUCAGAAGUGAAAGCCCGGGGCUUAACCCCGGGACUGCUUUUGAAACUGUCAUGCUGGAGUGCAGGAGAGGUAAGCGGAAUUCCUAGUGUAGCGGUGAAAUGCGUAGAUAUUAGGAGGAACACCAGUGGCGAAGGCGGCUUACUGGACUGUCACUGACACUGAUGCACGAAAGCGUGGGGAGCAAACAGGAUUAGAUACCCGAGUA
rnacentral:rRNA from 1 species